UACGGGGGGGGCAAGCGUUGUUCGGAAUUACUGGGCGUAAAGGGCGCGUAGGCGGUUUGCUAAGUUGAAUGUGAAAACUCUGGGCUUAACCCAGAGCCUGCAUUCAAUACUGGCAGGCUAGAGUUCUGGAGGGGAUAGCGGAAUUCCUGGUGUAGCGGUGAAAUGCGUAGAUAUCAGGAGGAACACCGGUGGCGAAGGCGGCUAUCUGGACAGAGUCUGACGCUGAGGAGCGAAAGCGUGGGGAGCGAACAGG
rnacentral:rRNA from 1 species